rnacentral:rRNA from 1 species
GACGAACGCUGGCGGCGUGCCUAAUGCAUGCAAGUCGCACGCGGCACCUUCGGGUGCUGAGUGGCGAACGGCUGAGGAACACGUGGGGACCUGUCCGGGAGUGGGGGACAACACCGCGAAAGCGGUGCUAAUCCCGCAUACGCCCUGAGGAGGAAAGCCGAAAGGCGCUCCCGGGUGGCCCUGCGGCCCAUCAGGUUGUUGGUAGGGUAAAGGCCUACCAAGCCGAUGACGCAUAGCUGGUCGGUGAGGAUGGUCAGCCAGACUGGGACGGAGCCACGGCCCAGACUCCUACGGGAGGCAGCAGUGGGGAAUAGUGGAGAAGGGGGGAAAGCCUGAUGAAGCAAGGCCGCGUGAGGGAGGAAGGCAUUAGGGUUGGAAAGCUCUUUGACCCGGGAUGAUAAUGACAGUACCGGGAGAAUAAGCUCCGGCUAACUCCGUG